CAAGUUUUAUCUGGAUAUGAACAGCAAUAAAGGAGAAAAUUAAGAAUUAUUAAUUUUAUUUCUUCGAACUUCCUGACUUAUGUGACGUAGUUUAAGUCUUUAAGCAUGCCGGGAGUGAAAAUAAUCUCAUUUUAAAUCUUAAUCGUUAAUCAUCUUAUAACGCUAUUUAAAGCGCAUCGACGACGUUUGGUGUAGCUAUUAACCAACUAAUAAUUAAGAUGGAACAGCGCUCAGCUUGAAAUUAGAAUGUACGAUUUAUAUUUUAAUAUUUUCUGAAAUGAUUAUAGUGAUACAAG
rnacentral:lncRNA from 1 species